rnacentral:sRNA from 1 species
AUGGUACGUUAUCAUACAAAACUCUUUCCUUUCUGAGUCUCCAUCACGGGCUACCUCUAUCCUCCCCCCCCCCCCCCCUUUUCUUCUAAAUCCCAUCAUUUCUUCUCUCGAGUCUUCCUCGAUUUCUAGGGUUAGGGUUUUCCAAUUCUCUCUCUGUCGAGUGGAUCACCACAAAUGGCGAUGAGGAGAUUCUACAACGAGAUCAAGGGGUUGAAGGUGAAGGAAUUGCCCGACCAUAUUAAGCCGAUGCUGUCCGUCGAUUCCGCCAAGAAGGCUGUGCAGAGAGGCUUGGACAACUACCACGCCAAGUACAUCCAGACCAGCUCCGUCGAUCCUCUCCUCCAUGUCUGCUUCGGAGGCAUGAUCUUCUCCUACCUCGUCGCUCUUCCCGAGGAGCGCCGCCACCUCGAGCACGCCAAGCACGCCAAGGAGCAUGGCCAUUGACCUCGAUCAUACAAAUGGUUAGUGAGGGCUUUGGGUGUUUCUCCGUCAACACAUGGUAUCAUUGUGAUACAAUAAAAUUCUCUUGGCCAUGGGUAUCUUACCUAUUACUUUUGAAAUUUGACCAUUAAAUGAGUUAUCAGAAAUAAACAACGUUUGUCAUUUAUGCGGACGGUUACUGAUUUUGUUAUCCGAAUGACUCUGUCUUGCUGCCUCUCACAUUCUUAUUUGAUGUUUUGAUUGUCCUACUUUAGUGUUGGUAUUCAGAGGCCUGCAUAGCUAAGUGAAUGCUAGUUUGGUUAGGUUUCUGAAAUGGCGUUUUCUUGUUGCCUCUUUUGCUACAAACACUUUUGUUCUGAGCGUAGUUGGCAUGAAUCUUUCAUUUUUAUGCUAUCCUUGAUAGGAAACUACUAAACCGUUGCAUUUUUUUU